UUUUUAUUGACUUGUGAUGUUUGAGUAUGUGUUUGGGUCUUGGUCAAGGAUGAUUUGACUUUUGUUGGAUUAAAAUCAUUGGAUUUAGGGGAUUGAUGAAAUGUACAUUUCAUCUCCCAAAAUGAAUGGAUGAUUUUUAUUUGAUAAAAGUCCUCCCAUGACCAAUUUGUGUUGAUCGCAUCUCCCUUCCCUCUUCAUAUUCAAUCCCAUUCUAUAUCAUCCCUUUUAUUGACCAAUGAAG
rnacentral:lncRNA from 1 species